UAGUACUGUAGUGGGAGGGCUUUCCUCCCCAGGUGUAACUGUGCAAACAUUAUGGUUACGGCACAAAGUCCAACUUGGUUAGAUUCUGUCACAUAAAUAUACACUGAGUUAAAUCAAACACAGCUUGUGUCCUGUUGGAAAAGCCCAUUUGUAAGCAGUUGUUUGAGAUCUGUAAGAUAACUUGCUGUGUAAAGAUAGCCAGUUCCGCUAAAGGCUGCUCCUGGGAAAGUGGGUGCCUUGUGAAGUUCCACGUUGCUCCAGAUUUCAGAGACAGAUGCUGCUUCGUGUACUCAGGACUUGUUUCAACUUCAGCUAAUUCAGGCACCCUGAAGUCUGAAUUUUGUUAAUAUUACCUAUUCCACGUGCAAUUGGUGAAUGAGGAUCCCAAAAGAUUUCUUGCUGUAUAUCAGUGUCAUUAAUUGGUGAG